rnacentral:rRNA from 1 species
UCGGAGAGGGUGAGAGCCCCGUGUGCGACACCGGCGGGCCGGGCCGCAGCUGUCUUCGGAGAGUCGGGUUGUUUGGGAUUGCAGCCCAAAGUGGGUGGUAAACUCCAUCUAAAGCUAAAUACUGGCACGAGACCGAUAGCGAACAAGUACCGUGAGGGAAAGGUGAAAAGUACUUUGAAAAGAGAGUCAAAAAGACCGCGAAACCGUUAGGAGGGAAACGAAUGCGGCUGAAGUGGCUCCCCGUCAGGCUCAGGGGACGUCGUCGGGUCUCGCAGGUGGCGGUUGCUUCCGCGCCGGCGAGACGCCCGUCGACCGCUCUGCACUUCUGCGGGGAGCCGGCCAACGUCAGUUGCGCCCGGCCCAGAAGGGCGUCGGGGUAGGUGGCUCCGUGCUCUGCGCGGAGAACUUAUAGCCCGGCGUCUGCUUUGGCGCUCCGGGGGAGCGACUGAGGAGAGUUGCGAGUUUCGCACGCGGCGGCGCAGGCCUCUCGAGGCUGGGCCCCUUCUCGUCGGGGUGGCGUCCGAGGCGUUCCACUGCGUGCAGUGGGGGUCUACGGCGCGCUCUCCGGCGGGGAGGACGGUCGCACCUUGCGUCGCAGUCGUUGGUGCCCGGAUGGCCGCAUCCGACCCGUCUUGAAACACGGACCAAGGAGUGCAACAUGCGUGCGAGUCCGCGGGUGGCAAACCCGUCGGCGCAAUGAAAGUGAAGGCAGGCGUCUGGCCUGCUGUGGCGAGAGCCCUCUUCCCGGGGGGCGCAUCGUCGACCGAUCCCAGGCUACGCUGUGGCGGGAUUUGAGUGAGAGCGUGCCUGUUGCGACCCGAAAGAUGGUGAACUAUGCCUGAAUAGGGUGAAGCCAGAAGAAAUUCUGGUGGAAGCUCGUAGCGAUUCUGACGUGCAAAUCGAUCGUCAAAUUUGGGUAUAGGGGCG